rnacentral:rRNA from 1 species
GCGACCCCAGGUCAGUCGGGACUACCCGCURAGU